rnacentral:rRNA from 1 species
UACCAGCACCCCGAGUGGUCGGGACGAUUAUUGGGCCUAAAGCACCCGUAGCCGGUUCUACAAGUCUUCCGUUAAAUCCACCUGCUUAACAGAUGGGCUGCGGAGGAUACUAUAGAGCUAGGAGGCGGGAGAGGCAAGCGGUACUUAGUGGGUAGGGGUAAAAUCCGUUGAUCCAUUGAAGACCACCAGUGGCGAAGGCGGCUUGCCAGAAUGCGCUCGACGGUGAGGGAUGAAAGCUGGGGGAGCAAACCGG